AAUUGGAGGGCAAGUCUGGUGCCAGCAGCCGCGGUAAUUCCAGCUCCAAUAGCGUAUAUUAAAGUUGUUGCAGUUAAAAAGCUCGUAGUUGAAUUUCGGGGUUAGUAGGUUGGUCAUGCCUCUGGUAUGUACUGAUCUCACUGAUUCCUCCUUCCUUAUGAACCGUAAUGCCAUUAAUUUGGUGUUGCGGGGAAUUUGGACUGUUACUUUGAAAAAAUUAGAGUGCUUAAAGCAGGCUAACGCUUGAAUACAUUAGCAUGGAAUAAUGAAAUAGGACGUUCGAUCUUAUUUUGUUGGUUUCUAGGAUUGACGUAAUGAUUAAUAGGGAUAGUUGGGGGCAUUAGUAUUCAAUUGUCAGAGGUGAAAUUCUUGGAUUUAUUGAAGACUAACUACUGCGAAAGCAUUUGCCAAGGAUGUUUUCAUUAAUCAAGAACGAAAGUUAGGGGAUCGAAGACGAUCAGAUACCGUCGUAGUCUUAACCAUAAACUAUGCCGACUAGGGAUCGGAUGAUGUUAAUUUUUUAAUGACUCAUUCGGCGCCUUACGGGAAACCAAAGUGU
rnacentral:rRNA from 1 species